rnacentral:rRNA from 1 species
ACUUCCAAACAGGGCCCUCAGAGACGAUGAGGUUGAUAGGCUGCAGGUGUAAAGGCAGUAAUGUCAUAGCUGAGCAGUACUAAUUGCCCGAAAGCUUACCGUA